CUCGCUCGUGUUUGUUUGUGUGCUCGUCCGCGGCGCGCCACGAGUGAGUGGGGGUGUGAUUAUCGCGUCUAGAGAGCGGGCCGGGAGAGCUAGGUGGACUCAAAGGGCGGCCGGCGUGGCUAGACUGCCACCGCCGCCGUCUCCUCCGGCGAUCCCGAUCUCAAAACCGCACUACGUCGCCAGACCCGCCCCGGACGUCGCCAGCCCGAGCUUCGCACACGAGCUGGGGUGGUUGCCGUGACCGCCGCCGCCGCUGCUGCUGGUACGCCGGUUUGCCGGGGCGCACGGGCGGGAACGUUCACAGUAACACCUUCGUGAUUUUCAGCUGUCAGACGUCUUCGAAACAAGUAGCGACCUCGGAUAAGAAGCUUCUCAACAUUCGCUUCUCCAUCUCGCACGAAACCGGUUCAACCCAGGACGAUCUUAACUUCCUUCCAGGAGAGGGUUUUCUUAUCUUCCGGGACUACCCUGUUUAGAAGUCGAAGUUAAAUCUUCGUCCAACAGAGAGGGUGAGAAAUGACCACCUUUUCAUCUUCCGCUCGUCCCCCGUCGAUAUGUACAACACGACGACCUAUGGUUGUGACCAACACAACAGUGAAGCCCUGGACUUAGUACACGUUUCGACCUACAAGAACACGAACUCCCACUGAAGUUAUUUCUCCUUCUACUCCCAACCUGUCUUCUCCUCAAACUUCCGGUAUAACAGUUCCUCGCGCUUCCCUUUUCUGGAGAGAACUGACCACUGGAAGUCCACUGAGAAUUUCUUCCACAACCUUGGUAUCCCCUCGAAUAGAAGUGACUGUUGAGGUCGACCUAUUCUUCGUCCUUUAAGUCUGAACCCGAGUCCCAACGGAGACCAAAAAGACUUCCAUAAGCACAAUCCCUCCGCUUCUGUCUUCGAAAAUGACAAUUUCUAGUAUCUCCCCUUAACAUGUUUUUUGUGAUGGGAGGACGAAACUUCCUACUACAAACCUCUAAUCUUUUCCAACCGUUCCUACCACGUAAGGUGUUCUUCAAUUUACCUUCGCCUUAGAUAUGUCAACUUCUAAAAGAAGCCGAAGAACAAUCCCUAGUUGUCUCCAACGCAUCAUAAGAACCGUCACCGUACAGUUUAUUCUACACCCUUUCGGAACAACUCGUACGUUUCUGAACACAAAAUCCACCUUUCGUAAUAUAUAUAAUACACUUACUAAGUUCUUUACAGCCACGUUAUAAGUUAUUGUAUAUACUCAAGUGACCGAACUAACGACUACUAGUCAAGUAAAGUCGACUUUUAGAGUGCCUGUUGGUCUUCCAGAUACGACUGUGCAACCAUUUCUUUCGUAUACUCCUAACCUACGUACGACAUCUUAUACUACCAUUCCGUGAAGAACCGAAGUUCGUCUUUUUCUUUAGACAGUGCUGGUCUUCACUAUGGCGUAGUCGAAGUUGUUCAUUGGGACGAAACAUACCAAAACAGUUUCGUGUUUUUGUCAAUGACGGUCCUUUUCGACCGGUUUGUAGUUGUCCGUGAGGUUCACUUCGUCGACCUCAUUCUUCGUGUAUAUUACCUUUAGACCGUCGUUCUUUGUGAUCAGGAGUCUUAUUGCGACGUUUGUAAUGGUACGUUAUACUCUCCUCACGUGACAGUGGACUUUCGGUCAAGUCACCCGGGAGGGAAGUCUGAGUUUGAAGACCUCCGAGGUUAUAAAACCGUAACCUUGGACGUGUCGUCGUCGUUGUCCCAAAACUUAAGAGUCGUCAACCAGUCAGGUACGUUGGACGUCUGGACUUGGGAAAGCUAGUUACCAGUGUCGGCGUUCUCUUGGCACGCCAACUACUGAUGAACUACCUCCUCUAGUCCAACUCCUCGGUACUCUAUGAGCUCUUACUGCUUUACGUUGUCUACGACGCUUAAAACUUGUACCCACCUCGUAGAUGGUUGUACUUACUACUACCGAAGUGAAAAGGCGGGAUGUACGUCAGUGGAAGGGGCUUGAACUUGAAACUCCUACUGGCGUGAGCAGGUGGACCCUUUCGGCAACACCCAACCGAAUUUUAGUUCCGUCGAUACUCCACCCCGUAGAAGCAGUCCUUCUUUCGCCGGCUCGCUUCUCGAGUCGAGCAACUCGAUCUACUACUGAUCGUUGUACAGAAUUCAAGAAUUUACGACAGGCACAUUAACAAAUUCCUAGGCAUUGCGUACCCGAGUCGUUACGUGGUACCUUUCUGUAAGUCCAGUACUCAAGAAUUAGUACCUGCUUGAGGACAAAUCAAAUACAAAAAGAAAAAGACAUAUCAAAGUGGUAACAGAUACGUAAACAAACAAAUCGCACUACAACUAUUCUGGGAAAAUGGAUUUGACACAUGUAAAUAAACAACGUCUAUAGUCCUUUCCGCAAUUUCAUAAGGAUAACAAAAGUGCAUUUUAUCUUAACAUAGAGGAAACCAAUUCUUUUUGUUCUAUCGGUAGAAAAAUGUUACGUGACACAAUAUCUAUCGGUGUACAUUUACAACGCAACCUAGAACAGUAGAUGUGUACAAAAGAAUACAAAAAGGAAAACUUAACGUACAAAGUAAUACAUUCUGUGCCACUGUCGGUUUAAAUGGUAUCUGAUUAACUGACGGGUACACAACGGGGCCCGGUUGUUUACUUACUUACGAGUAAAAUGAGAAGUACUUCACUCGGUGUUGUAUUUGUGUUCAUAGAAGUACGUGGGGAGAUCGAUGAAAAAAAACAACUUGAACAGUAAGUACAGAAGAGAAGAGUAUGUGGUAAGUAGGAGACCUACACCAAAUACACAACAACAAAAUAACUAAGUGACAUAAUACGUACAGCACGUUGCACUUUGUGGU
rnacentral:rRNA from 1 species